rnacentral:tRNA from 1 species
GAGGGUAUAGCUCAAGGUAGAGUGUGUGCUUUGUGUGGACGAGGUCCUGGGUUCAAUCCCCAGUACCUCUA